GCCUCCUUAGCUCAGUGGUAGAGNNGUAGAGCACUCGCCUUGUAAGCGAAAGGUCGUCAGUUCAAUCCUGACAGGAGGCUCCG
rnacentral:tRNA from 1 species